rnacentral:rRNA from 1 species
AACGAACGUUGGCGGCGUGGAUUAGGCAUGCAAGUCGAGCGAGAAUCCCCGCAAGGGGAGGAAAGCGGCGAAAGGGAGAGUAAUACGUAGGUACCUGCCCUCGGGUCUGGGAUAGCUGCGGGAAACUGCAAUUAAUACCAGAUGACGUCUGAGGACCAAAGGUGUGAUUCCGCCAGGGGAUGGGCCUGCGUCCUAUCAGCUAGUUGGUGUGGUAAGAGCGCACCAAGGCAAAGACGGGUACGGGGUGUGAGAGCAUGCCCCCGCUCACUGGGACUGAGACACUGCCCAGACACCUACGGGUGGCUGCAGUCGAGAAUCUUCCGGAAUGGGCGCAAGCCUGACGGAGCGACGCCGCGUGUGGGAUGAAGGCCUUCGGGUUGUAAACCACUGUCAGUGGGGAGCAAAUGGCUAGGGGUUCUCCCCUAGUCUUGAGCGAUCCGCAGAGGAAGCACAGGCUAAUUCCGUGCCAGCCGCCGCGGUAAAAC